UACGUAGGGUGCGAGCGUUGUCCGGAAUUAUUGGGCGUAAAGAGCUUGUAGGCGGUCUGUCGCGUCUGCUGUGAAAAUCCGGGGCUCAACCCCGGACUUGCAGUGGGUACGGGCAGACUAGAGUGUGGUAGGGGAGACUGGAAUUCCUGGUGUAGCGGUGAAAUGCGCAGAUAUCAGGAGGAACACCGAUGGCGAAGGCAGGUCUCUGGGCCGUAACUGACGCUGAGGAGCGAAAGCAUGGGGAGCGAACAGG
rnacentral:rRNA from 1 species